rnacentral:rRNA from 1 species
UUAUACCGCGAAACUGCGAAUGGCUCAUUAUAUAAGUUAUCGUUUAUUUGAUAGUACCUUACUACUUGGAUAACCGUGGUAAUUCUAGAGCUAAUACAUGCUAAAAAUCCCGACUUCGGAAGGGAUGUAUUUAUUAGAUUAAAAACCAAUGCCCUUCGGGGCUCACUGGUGAUUCAUGAUAACUCCUCGAAUCGCAUGGCCUUGUGCCGGCGAUGGUUCAUUCAAAUUUCUUCCCUAUCAACUUUCGAUGUUUGGGUAUUGGCCAAACAUGGUUGCAACGGGUAACGGAGGGUUAGGGCUCGACCCCGGAGAAGGAGCCUGAGAAACGGCUACUACAUCCAAGGAAGGCAGCAGGCGCGCAAAUUACCCAAUCCCGACACGGGGAGGUAGUGACAAUAAAUACUGAUACAGGGCUCUUUUGGGUCUUGUAAUUGGAAUGAGUACAAUUUAAAUCCCUUAACGAGGAACAAUUGGAGGGCAAGUCUGGUGCCAGCAGCCGCGGUAAUUCCAGCUCCAAUAGCGUAUAUUAAAGUUGUUGUGGUUAAAAAGCUCGUAGUUGAACCUUGGGCCUGGCCGUCCGGUCCGCCUCACCGCGUGUACUGGCUCGGCCGGGCCUUUCCCUCUGUGGAACCCCAUGCCCUUCACUGGGCGUGGCGGGGAAACAGGACUUUUACUGUGAAAAAAUUAGAGUGCUCCAGGCAGGCCUAUGCUCGAAUACAUUAGCAUGGAAUAAUAGAAUAGGACGUGUGGUUCUAUUUUGUUGGUUUCUAGGACCGCCGUAAUGAUUAAUAGGGACAGUCGGGGGCAUCAGUAUUCAAUUGUCAGAGGUGAAAUUCUUGGAUUUAUUGAAGACUAACUACUGCGAAAGCAUUUGCCAAGGAUGUUUUCAUUAAUCAGGAACGAAAGUUAGGGGAUCGAAGACGAUCAGAUACCGUCGUAGUCUUAACCAUAAACUAUGCCGACUAGGGAUCGGACGGUGUUAUUUUUUGACCCGUUCGGCACCUUACGAGAAAUCAA